CAGUCGCCGCGGUAAUACGAAUGGGGCUAGCGUUGCUCGGAAUGACUGGGCGUAAAGGGCGCGUAGGCGGUUUGGACAGUUGGGUGUGAAAUCCCCGGGCUUAACCCGGGGACUGCGCUCGAUACAUCCAGGCUUGAGUGAGGAAGAGGGUCGUGGAAUUCCCAGUGUAGAGGUGAAAUUCGUAGAUAUUGGGAAGAACACCGGUGGCGAAGGCGGCGACCUGGUCCUUUACUGACGCUGAGGCGCGAAAGCUAGGGGAGCAAACAGGAUUAGAUACCCCCGUAGUCCCUGUCUCUUAUAC
rnacentral:rRNA from 1 species